rnacentral:lncRNA from 1 species
CUUUUGGAGCCUGGUGGAAUGACCAAGUGGAUUAUUUGCUCUAAAAUUCUGCCCUGAAAUCAAGAAGAACUGGGAUUGAGACUAUAAAUGGCUUAUCAGGGUUCCUCACUCCACCUGUAGCAAAACUCAGCACAGAUGGUCUAUGACAAUGGAUGAACAGCAUAUUCUUCACAUGUAAAGAAUUUGGGUGUGAAAUACACAUAAGCAAAAUUUCAUCCACUGGGCUGUUGGAUUCAUGGUGGGGAGGGUUUUUUGUAAAGAAAUAUACUAAGACAGACCGGGCACAGUGACUCACACCUGUAAUCCUAGCUACUCAGGUGGCUGAGGCAGGAGAAUCACUUGAACCCAGGAGGCCGAGGCUGCAGUGAAUUGAGAUCACGCCGCUGUACUCCAGCCUUGAUGACCAAGUGAGACUCCAUCUCAAAAAAAUAUAUACAUAAUAUAGUGACCAGCCUGGCCAAUAUAGUGAAACUCCAUCUCUACUAAAAAUACAAAAAAAACAGCCAGGCAUGGUGGCACAUGCCUGUAGUUUCAGCUACUCAGGAGGCUGAGGCAGGAGAAUUGUUUGAACCUGGGAAGCAGAGGUUGCAGUGAGCCGAGAUCAUGCCACUGCGAUCCAACCUGGGCAACAGAGGCAGACUCCAUUGUCUCCUCUGUUGAGAGAGCCAUGGAACAGAUUCUCCCUCAGAGCCUUCAGAAGGAACCAACCCUGCCUACAUCUUGAUUUUGGACUUCUGGC